UACGUAGGUGGCAAGCGUUAUCCGGAAUUAUUGGGCGUAAAGAGCGCGCAGGUGGUUGAUUAAGUCUGAUGUGAAAGCCCACGGCUUAACCGUGGAGGGUCAUUGGAAACUGGUCGACUUGAGUGCAGAAGAGGGAAGUGGAAUUCCAUGUGUAGCGGUGAAAUGCGUAGAGAUAUGGAGGAACACCAGUGGCGAAGGCGGCUUCCUGGUCUGUAACUGACACUGAGGCACGAAAGCGUGGGUAUCAAACAGGAUUAGAUA
rnacentral:rRNA from 1 species